GAUGAACGCUAGCGGUAGGCUUAAUACAUGCAAGUCGAGGGGCAGCGAGGUUAGCAAUAACUGUCGGCGACCGGCGUACGGGUGAGUAACACGUACUCAAUCUACCUUUUACUGAGGCAUAGCCCCGAGAAAUUGGGAUUAAUACUUCAUAACAUUAUGAAAAGGCAUCUUUUUAUAAUUAAAGCUCAGGCGGUAAAAGAUGAGGGUGCGUCCCAUUAGUUAGUUGGCGGGGUAACGGCCCACCAAGACGAUGAUGGGUAACUGGCGUGAGAGCGCGACCAGUCACACGGGCACUGAGACACGGGCCCGACUCCUACGGGAGGCAGCAGUAGGGAAUAUUGGGGCAAUGGAGGCAACUCUGACCCAGCCAUACCGCGUGCAGGAUGAAGGCCCUCUGGGUUGUAAACUGCUUUUAUCAGGGAAGAAACGCUGGAUUUAUCUUAGCCUGACGUACCUGAGGAAUAAGCACCGGCUAACUCCGUGCCAGCAGCCGCCGUAAC
rnacentral:rRNA from 1 species